UUAAGAUAGCCGGCGUGGCGGAAUUGGCAGACGCGCUGGAUUCAAAAUCCAGUGUCCUC
rnacentral:tRNA from 1 species